UACGUAGGGUGCGAGCGUUAAUCGGAAUUACUGGGCGUAAAGUGUGCGCAGGCGGCCGCGCAAGUCGAGUGUGAAAGCCCCGGGCUUAACUUGGGAAUUGCGCUCGAAACUACGUGGCUGGAGUGUGGCAGAGGAAGGUGGAAUUCCAGGUGUAGCGGUGAAAUGCGUAGAGAUGUGGAGGAACACCAAUGGCGAAGGCAGCCUUCUGGGCCAACACUGACGCUCAUGCACGAAAGCGUGGGGAGCAAACAGG
rnacentral:rRNA from 1 species